ACAUGCAAGUCGAACGAUAAGCCACCUUCGGGUGGUGGACAGUGGCGCACGGGUGAGUAACACGUGGGGACCUACCUGAUAGUACGGGACAACAGUUGGAAACGACUGCUAAUACCGUAUACGCCCUUCGGGGGAAAGAUUUAUCGCUAUCAGAUGGACCCGCGCUAGAUUAGAUAGUUGGUGAGGUAACGGCUCACCAAGUCGACGAUCUAUAGCUGGUUUGAGAAGAUGAUCAGCCACAUUGGGACUGAGACACGGCCCAGACUCC
rnacentral:rRNA from 2 species